rnacentral:rRNA from 1 species
UACAGAGGUCCAUCAGCUGUUGUCGAUUCAUUGGGCGUAAAGGGUGCGUAGGCGGCGUGGUAAGUCGGAUGUGAAAAUCUCGGAGCUUAACUCCGAAACUGCAUUCGAUACUGCCGUGCUUGAGGACUGGAGAGGAGACUGGAAUUUACGGUGUAGCGGUGAAAUGCGUAGAUAUCGUAAGGAAGACCAGUGGCGAAGGCGGGGUCUCUGGACAGUUCCUGACGCUGAGGCACGAAGGCCAGGGGAGCAAACGGG